ACUGAGAUGACCCAUAGUACCCCAUUCCUUGCUGCAAUGUAAUUAUAUUUAAUUACAAGUGUGCCCCUGGUAGUCUUUAACUGAAGGGCACUGACUGGGUCACUGGUGAAGUUCCCCGCAGGAACUGAGUCAGACCCCAUCUCAGGGCCCUGCACAAGAUAGGUGCCUGCUCUAAGGCGUGGACCCUCGCCACAGCCCUGGCCCGUCUUGACGGGCGAGGGUUACUGUACUUGUCCCAACCGUACAGAUGAGAAAGCUGAGACUCAGGGCCAGCAACCCGGGUCCCAGCGGAGCGCCCGGCACACGCCGACACUUCAGCACCAGUGGCGGUGGCCACCACUGUGGGCGGAGAUGGCUGCGACGCGUGCGCAGAUCUCGAUCCCAAACUCCCUCCUGCCAGAAUCUGGACCCGAAUCCACCCAUUGCCCGUUUUCCGCUGCCGCUGGAGAGAAUCUCUGAGGUCCCCAGGAGAGCCUGCCUGCACGGAAGAGACGCCUCCUCGAUUAAAUGCUGUUUUCCAUGACCGUCUCUGUUCUUCCCAUACGGGAAUGGCAGGCAUUCAGAUCUCCAAGAAUAGAGGAUUAGGAGAGACUCCACCACCUAUGUCCUCACAGUUAAUUAUCGAUUUGUGUCAGUUGCCCAUUUUCUCACUUCCUGUUUGUGUGUCAAGGGGUAUUAAUAAAUCUUUGCCUAUUUAAAGAUAUUAGCCUUGGAUUUUCAAAUAUUGCAUAUUUUGACAUGUAAAAAUUUGUUAGUUUUAUUUUUUCAACCGAUCUGACC
rnacentral:lncRNA from 1 species